rnacentral:lncRNA from 1 species
AUGGCGGUGGGGAUUGGGGGUGACAGGGAGGCGGAGACUGGGGACGCCAAGGAGGAGGCUAGUGUGGUGGAAACUGGGAUGACUGAGGAAGCCAUUGAUGAGCUUGCUGUUGUUUGGGUCAAAAUCUUUGGCAUUCCCAAGUCAGCUAGAAAUGAGGAUGCAGUGAAAGCUAUAGUUGAGCUGGUGGGUGAGUUUGAGGCUCUUGACAACUUGUCUUUGAGGAGAGAUGGUCCUGUGAGAGUGAGGGUGGCUUGUAAAGACCCUAGAGAGCUUCACUUUGUGAUACAUGUCUACAUUAACAAAGUGGGAUAUAAGAUUAGAUGGGAACCAGAGGGAUUUGCCCCCUAUGAGAACAAAAACUCAUCCCCUCCAGAGGAUGGAGAUGAUGAUGACAAAGGUGAUGAAGGAAAUGAGGACAUGAAUGUCGAUGAAGACUUCAAUAACCAAAGCCCUAUGAGAGGUCGACAGAACAAGGAUAACAGCUCUCAGAUGGGGGGUAGGGGUCAGCUGCACACUGCUCCCCCAGCAUACAAAGGGAAAACUUAUCAACAAGAUUCAUGCAGAAGUUUGGUAAAAAAGAUGGCAUGCAAGAAGCUGAGCCUGUUGGAGUGUGUUGACUCUGGGAGUAAGGACCUCGUUCUUUGGGAGGGUGAACCAGAGGAAGUGCAAGAAUAUCAAGAGUUGGAGCUGCCUCUCAGUGGUCAGUUCACCCUGAGAGGAGGAGAUGAGGAAAAAAUGAUCUCAACUAAUGACUCCCAAGAGAAAUGUGACAUCCCUACCUUGUCAGAUAUUGAGAGGUUGAGGGAGGAAGAAGAGUUUGAAGAAGAAGACUCUUUCAAAGAAGUGUCAUACAAGAAGAGACCCAAGAAAAGGGUGGAACCGGUUGUCACUUCUAGGAUGAGCCUCAGAAACAGGGAGAUGGCGACUGUACCAAUUCCUAAAAGAGCUGAAUUGUUAACUCAAAAGAAGAAUCUAGAGUGCACAGGGAAGAAUGUUGUGGAUGUUAGUAGUAACAUAGAUACCAUUAAGGCAAAAGAGCUAGUUCAAGCCAAGCUGGCUGAAUUGAGAUGGAAACAGGAAAAGGAGAAAGAGGAAGUCCCAGUCAAUGAGAGUUUGAGAAACUCAUCAGUGGAGGUA